rnacentral:rRNA from 1 species
UACGUAGGGAGCAAGCGUUGUCCGGAAUCAUUGGGCGUAAAGCGCGCGUAGGCGGCCCUGUAAGUCCGCUGUGAAAGUCAAAGGCUCAACCUUUGAAUGCCGGUGGAUACUGCAGGGCUAGAGUCCGGAAGAGGCAAGUGGAAUUCCUGGUGUAGCGGUGGAAUGCGCAGAUAUCAGGAGGAACACCAGUGGCGAAGGCGGCUUCUGGG